rnacentral:lncRNA from 1 species
UUCAGGCUGUGAAUAGAUUUAAAUUCCUACUGCUCAGACAAAAUGAAAUUGUUUUGUUGUUGUUGUUGUUUUUUUAUUUCUUUUUUUUUUUUUUCAUUUAGAAGAAUGUGUGUAAAAACAAAUACACAAACCCUUCUAGUCUUGCCUUAACUGAUAGAGUAUCAUCCACUCAUCCACUGGGAAUCUAUCUUUUAAUUAUGACUGCGUUGUUAAAGGAUGGUUACUAAAGGAAAAAUUAAAAAAAAAAAAUAAAAAAAAAAUAAAAAGAAAUGAGAGAAAUGAUACAACUGGAAGAUUCCUUCUUUAGUUGACAACCUCUAUAUGUGCAGUAAGUAUACUUUUUGGGAGGACAUGUGGUAGUUAAAGGAACAGAAAUGACCCUUUGCUAAGAUCAAAAAUCUCAAAUGGGUAACAUUAUCUAUGUUUGCAUACAUUCUCCACAUUUUUAUAUUUUUGUUCAGCUCUUGAAGAGAAAAGGAACAAGAAAGUGAUAAUCUAACUGAACAGAAAAGAUGAGUUAGGAAAAAAAAAAAAGAGCCUAAUAGGCAGAGUGGGGCUAGAGGGGACAGAAGAGAAGAAAAAGUACAGAAGAAUAAAAAGAGAGAGAGAGAGGAAAAGAUGCUAAAACUACAUUUAUUCCUCAGCACAUACUCAUACCUUCUCCCGGAGGGAAAGGAAUACAAAAUCUUCAUCUUACCCUUGCCCAGCUGCAUUCAAAGCUUGAAGCCGCCACGCAAGAAUGUGAAACACAGUCUUAUUCCUUCGUGGUCACACAGUUCAGACUGUGAUCAAAGCGUAAAUGAUUCUUCCAGGAAUCAUAUUAACUCUGCCUUUCUCUCAUUUACAAAUCUGCUGCUACAGACUUUCUUUCCUCCUAGGAUUAAGCAGUUCUUUAGACACAAAUGCCUGAGAAUCUCCUUUAAUUCUCUGAGAUUAUCCAAGGGAUUCUCAACUCUUGUGCAGCUGAAUGAAUCUCUCCUAACAAAAAUGAUUGUUCUUCAAAUCCUCUCCAAACACAUGGCCGAAUAUUUAGGCAGUUGUUCUCUUGUUAGUAUACAUGAAACCUCAUGAAUUUCAUGACGGAUCAUCUCCCCGGCAGCUUGGAGUCCAUGGCUACAUAUUUGUUGAUACAGCCUGUUGAGAUCUAAGCUCUUUAAUUUGCAAUUGUAAUAUGUAAUUUUCUAGAAAUAAAAUGCAAUUCAGUCUCA